rnacentral:piRNA from 1 species
CGAGAGGUAGCCAGGUCUUGGAAUCUGACA